CGCGUAGGCGGCUUGCCAAGUCAGGGGUGAAAUCCUGCAGCUUAACUGUAGAAGGGCCUUUGAUACUGGCGAGCUCGAGGGAGGUAGGGGUAUGUGGAACUUCCGGUGGAGCGGUGAAAUGCGUUGAUAUCGGAAGGAACGCCGGUGGCGAAAGCGACGUACUGGACCUCUUCUGACGCUGAGGCGCGAAAGCUAGGGGAGCAAACG
rnacentral:rRNA from 1 species